UUGGGAAUCUUGGACAAUGGGGGAAACCCUGAUCCAGCCAUGCCGCGUGAGUGAUGAAGGCCUUCGGGUUGUAAACUCUUUCGACGGGGACGAUAAUGACGGUACCCGUAGAAGAAGCUCCGGCUAACUUCGUGCCAGCAGCCGCGGUAAUACGAAGGGGGCUAGCGUUGUUCGGAAUUACUGGGCGUAAAGCGCGCGCAGGCGGUUUUCCAAGUCAGUGGUGAAAGCCCGGAGCUCAACUCCGGAACUGCCAUUGAAACUGGCGAACUUGAGUACGAGAGAGGUGAGUGGAAUUCCCAGUGUAGAGGUGAAAUUCGUAGAUAUUGGGAAGAACACUGGUGGCGAAGGCGGCUCACUGGCUCGUAACUGACGCUCAGGCGCGACAGCGUGGGGAUCAAACAGGAUUAGAUACCCUGGUAGU
rnacentral:rRNA from 1 species